rnacentral:rRNA from 1 species
UACGGGGGGAGCAAGCGUUGUUCGGAUUUACUGGGCGUAAAGGGCUCGGAGGCUGUAGCACAAGUCAGUUGUGAAAUCUCCGGGCUUAACUCGGAAAGGUCAACUGAUACUGUGCGACUAGAGUGCAGAAGGGGCAACAGGAAUUCUCGGUGUAGCGGUGAAAUGCGUAGAUAUCGAGAGGAACACCUGCGGCGAAGGCGGGUUGCUGGGCUGACACUGACGCUGAGGCGCGAAAGCCAGGGGAGCGAACGGG